CACGCGAAGAACCUUACCUGGUCUUGACAUCCACAGAACUUGGCAGAGAUGCCUUGGUGCCUUCGGGAACUGUGAGACAGGUGCUGCAUGGCUGUCGUCAGCUCGUGUUGUGAAAUGUUGGGUAAAGUCCCGCAACGAGCGCAACCCUUAUCCUUUGUUGCCAGCGGUUAGGCCGGGAACUCAAAGGAGACUGCCAGUGAUAAACUGGAGGAAGGUGGGGAUGACGUCAAGUCAUCAUGGCCCUUACGACCAGGGCUACACACGUGCUACGAUGGCGCAUACAAAGAGAAGCGAUCUCGCGAGAGCUAGCGGACCUCAUAAAGUGCGUCGUAGUCCGGAUUGGAGUCUGCAACUCGACUCCAUGAAGUCGGAAUCGCUAGUAAUCGUGAAUCAGAAUGUCACGGUGAAUACGUUCCCGGGUCUUGUACACACCG
rnacentral:rRNA from 1 species